rnacentral:tRNA from 2 species
AGCCCGGUGGUGUAGUCAGGACAAGCAUGGCGGGCUUUGGACCCGCCGACGGGAGUUCGAAUCUCCCCCGGGCUA